UAGUGUAGUUAACACCUGCAUUAUUUGACGUUACCUACAGAAGAAGCACCGGCUAACUCCGUGCCAGCAGCCGCGGUAAUACGGAGGGGUGCGAGCGUUAAUCGGAAUUACUGGGCGUAAAGCGCAUGCAGGCGGCCUGUUAAGUCAGAUGUGAAAGCCCGGGGCGUUAACCUCGGAAUUGCAUUUGAAACUGGCAGGCUAGAGUCUUGUAGAGGGGGGUAGGAAUUUCAGGUGUAGCGGUGAAAUGCGUAGAGAUCUGAAGGAAUACCAGUGGCGAAGGCGGCCCCCCUGGACAAAGACUGACGCUCAGAUGCGAAAGCGUGGGGAGCAAACAGGAUUAGAUACCCCUGGUAG
rnacentral:rRNA from 1 species